GGACGAACGCUGGCGGCGUGCUUAACACAUGCAAGUCGAGCGGUAAGGCCCUUUCGGGGGUACACGAGCGGCGAACGGGUGAGUAACACGUGGGUGACCUGCCCUCAGCUCUGGGAUAACGCCUGGGAAACCGGGUCUAACUAACCGGAUAUGACUCCAUGACGCAUGUUGUGGGGUGGAAAGCCUUGUGCGGCUGAGGAUCGGGCCCGCGGCCUAUCAGCUUGUUGGUGGGGUGANGGCCUACCAAGGCGACGACGGGUAGCCGGCCUGAGAGGGCGACCGGCCACACUGGGACUGAGACACGGCCCAGACUCCUACGGGAGGCAGCA
rnacentral:rRNA from 1 species